CUACCUACCUGGCACGGGAGAUACCAGGACCAAGAAGAUGGUUUUCUCAGGGCGAGGCUUAUCCACUGCAUACCAGAUGUGCUGACACCUGUGAUUUCUCCAGAUGCAGGGAAACUGUGUAAUUUGUGGCAGUGGGGAUUGAAUUCAUGCUCUCCCCUG
rnacentral:snRNA from 14 species